CCCCGCCUCCGCCUUCCCCUCUCUCUGAUGGGAGAGCUCUUUUUGGGCUGUGUCCCCUUGAGGAGUGUCUUUCAGUACUCUCCAGGCUCCUGAGGGGGCGUGACUUAAGCGCUGAAGCCACGCCCUUCCCGGGGCUAUUCCCGUCUAUUCUAGGAGCUUCUUUCUGGGUUCUCCAGACCCUCCCCCAGAAAGGUGGCGGGGGAGCGUUCUGUGAAGAAAGACCCCGCCCCCGAAUAAGCCCGCCCACACGCCCGCGGAGGAGAAGCCUCUCCCUGAGCCAGGUCCUGGAGGGGGCGUGGCCUCGGAGCUCUUAUUUUGGCUCUUAUGAGGGUGCAGGAGAGGGCGUGACCUAGGAGCACAGGCCCAUUUUUUGGAGGGGGGGUGUUAGCCCUGGAGGUGGGCGUGGUCUGUGUUCUGAAGGUCCUGUCUUUCGGGUUCCGACAGAAGCUGGGGUGGGGGCGUGUCCUGGGAGCUCCGGCCCCGCCCCUCACAGGGGCUUCUUAAAGUCUCAGCGUCCCUCGGGCUCUCCCUGACGUAGGCCGAGGUGAGGGCGUGUCCGUCGCGCCCAGGCACCGCCUCUUCCGGGGGCGCGCGCGCGCUCUCUCCCUCUCUCAGUGCGGUGGGAGGCUCUCGGUGGGCCAGGAGGCGGAGGGGGCGUGUCCGUGCCGCUCGUAGCCCCGCCCCAGGCCUCCCUCUCUCUCCCUCCCUCCUUCCUUCCCUCUCAGCUCGGCUCGGCUCGGCUCGGUUUUGCUCGGCUGGGCUCGCGCUGGCGCCGGUGCGCGCUCCCGCCCGGCGUCUCGUGGGCGCGCUCUGUGUGGCCGCCGCCGCCAUGUUGUUGUGGUGGUGAGGCGGAGCGGCGGCGGAGGAGCCGGAGCCGGAGCCGGAGCCGGAGCCGGGGCCGCAGCCGAAGUCGCAGCCGCAGCCGCAGCCGCAGCCGCAGCCGGAGCAGCCCGCGGCCGAGACACGCACGCGCCGGCCCGGCCCCGGGGCGCCCGCGCAGGCCGCCCCCCUCCCUGCGGCCCGAGCGUCGCGUCGAGGGCGGAGGAGGAGGAGGAGGAGGAAGAGGGAGGGCAGGGGGAGGGGGCCCUGGCUGGGGGCGGAGGAGCCGAGGCCGCGGCCCACCGGGGGCUCCGCCAUGUCCUGCUGCCCCUGCCCCCGCCCCUGCCGCCGCUGCCGCCGCCGCUGUCCGAGCGUCUGCUGCCGCCCUCGGGGCCUGGUUUCGAUGUGAACUGUAUUAGCAGAAAAAAAUCUUUGAAAAAUUAUUGACAAAGAAUCUACAUUUGGUAAGUCUGCAUUCUCUUUUCUACUUUUCUCUAUUGUGCUGAGUAAAGAACCAUAUCAAUGCAGGAAAGAAUAAUUAGCAAAUUCAUUAAUUAGGAGAAUGUUCAUUUUUAUUAGCAAAU
ensembl:lncRNA